rnacentral:rRNA from 1 species
UAGUCAUAUGCUUGUCUCAAAGAUUAAGCCAUGCAUGUCUAAGUAUAAACGCCUUUAUACUGUGAAACUGCGAAUGGCUCAUUAAAUCAGUUAUAGUUUAUUUGAUAGUACCUCUUUACUACAUGGAUAACCGUGGUAAUUCUAGAGCUAAUACAUGCGAAAAAUCCCGACUUUUGUGGAAGGGAUGUAUUUAUUAGAUAAAAAACCAACUUUCUCCUCCUGAAAGGGAGGGGAAAACCCCCUUUUGCUUGGUGAUUCAUAAUAACUUGUCGAAUCG